rnacentral:rRNA from 1 species
GUCUUUUAGAUUAUAAUUUAAAGUCUAACCUGCCCUAUGAAUAAUUAAAUGGCCGCAGUAUUUUGACUGUGCAAAGGUAGCAUAAUAAUUAGUUUUUUAAUUGAAAGCUGGAAUGAAAGGUUGAACGAAAAAAUAUCUGUCUCAAUUUAAAUUUAAUUAAAAUUUUAUUUUUUAGUAAAAAAGCUAAAAUAUUUUUUAAAGACGAGAAGACCCUAUAGAGUUUUAUAUUUAAAAUUAAUAAUUUUUUAGAAUUUUUUUUUAAUUUAUAAUAUUUUAUUGGGGUGAUAAAUAAAUUUAAUUAACUUUAUUUUUUUAUAACAUUAAUAUAUGAUUUGUUGAUCCAUAAAAAUGAUUAAAGAUUAAAUUACCUUAGGGAUAACAGCGUUAUUUUUUUUAAGAGUUCUUAUCGAAAAAAAAGAUUGCGACCUCGAUGUUGGAUUAAAAUUUAUAUAUGGUGUAGAAGCUAUAAAAUUAGGUCUGUUCGACCUUUAAAAUUUUACAUGAUCUGAGUUUAAACCGGUGUGAGCCAGGUUGGUUUCUAUCUUAAAAUAAAAAAAGUUUUUUAGUACGAAAGGACCAAAUACUUAUAAAAUUUAUUUAAAUUUGAAUAU